rnacentral:snRNA from 1 species
AUAUGAUACCUGGAGGGGGGAUACCAUUGGAUCACAAAGUGGUUUUUUCAGGGUAAGGGCCCAAUCCAUUGCUUCUGGGUGUGCUGGCCUUGCGCUUUCCCCCAAAUACAGGGGAAAAAUCGGAUCGUUAAUGUGUGGUAGUGACGAGACUGAGUUGUGCUUUCCCCUGAA